UAAAAUUAGAUAGGAGAUAUAGGGAAAGAAGGGUUGGGAAACUUUCUUAUGAGUCAUCUAGCAAAAGAUACAACAGUAUUCCUAACCCUGCUCCAGCCACAUCUACUGAAACACCUAUGGAUUUAGGGGUAUUACGUGGACCCCUAACUCAAGAGGAGAAGAAUAGAAGGAGAUUGAAUCAUCUCUGCAUGUAUUGUGGUUCUAAAGAACAUAUUCUGAGAGACUGCCCUAAUCUUCUAAAACAGAAGUCAGUGGGAUCAAAGACGACUGAAUAUUGAGGCCAUCGUGGAUACUGGGGCAACUGGUUGUUAUAUAGACAUAAGUUUAAUUGAAAAAAAUAAAAUACCACAUAUAGCAAAAGAAAAA